rnacentral:rRNA from 1 species
UACGGAGGGUGCAAGCGUUGUCCGGAUUUAUUGGGCGUAAAGAGCGUGUAGGCGGCCCGAUUAGUCCGCUGUGAAAGUCCAGGGCUCAACCCUGGAAUGCCGGUGGAUACUGUCGGGCUAGAGUCCGGAAGGGGCGAGUGGAAUUCCUGGUGUAGCGGUGAAAUGCGCAGAUAUCAGGAGGAACACCAAUGGCGAAGGCAGCUCGCUGGGACGUGACUGACGCUGAGACGCGAAAGCGUGGGGAGCAAACAGG